rnacentral:lncRNA from 1 species
GAAGCCAUGGGGACAUUGGCACAGAAGGCCCCCAAUUGACCCAGUAAAGGCUCAGUCACAUCCAUCUGAGCACUUGGAGGCCACCAGCCAGAACCCCAAACAUGAUGCUAACUGAAGGGUGCUCUGGUUUCUGCCCCUUCCAGCCUAAGUGCAUGGUAAUGACUGAUAUUUCCUGACCACUCACUACUUGUAGACAAUGUCUCAGACACUCACAGACCUGAGCACAGGUAAUCCUCACAACCACUCCAGGAGCCAGGAAACCUGAGUGUCUCCAUUUUACAGGUGAGGACACAGUCGAGAGGGGAUCAGAAACGAGGUCCCGUAGCCCAUCCAUCAAGGUCAGGUUUGGCUUCUAUGAUCUGGUACCACAGCCACGUCAACUCUAGCACUGUACCACCUACCCAGAAGAGGAAACUCAGGAGAGGCAGUAAAACUAUAAAAAGGAGACUUGAGAAUUGAAACAGCAGAUGGAGUUUACAUACAAUAGGCUUGCAGACUCCCACCUAGAAUGGGCCUGGGUGAUAAUUGGCAUUCAUAAUGAUAAAUGAUUUGGGUCACGAAGAGAAUACCGAAUUCUGUUCAAGAAUAUCCAUCUAUCUAUCUGGAUAUCUUUUGUGUGUGUGUGUGUGUGUGUGUGUGUGUGUGCUUUUUAGGGCUGCACCUGUGGCAUAUGGAAGUUCCCAGUUCCCAGGCUAGGGGUCUAAUUGGAGCUGUAACUACCAGCCUACACCAGAGCCACAGCAGCUCGGGAUCUGAGCCGCAUCUGCGGCCUAUACCACAGCUCAUGGCAACGCUGGAUUGUUAACCCCCUGAGCAAGGGCAGGGAUCGAACCUGCAACCUCAUGGUUCCUAGUUGGAUUCGUUAACCACUGCGCCACGAUGGGAACUCCUCUCGCAACUUUUGAAUCUUUCCUGGGACUCUUCCAUAAAAGGUGUUCCUUAGUCCAACCUCAUCCUUUGAGAUCUCGCUGCUGCCUCUGAGGUCAUGUCACUAGGAGCCCUUUCCUUAAGAUGGUCCACAUUUUGAGCAUUAUUUAGUUGUCCUUCAGCUUUCAGAGAUCCUCAGCAUUUCCACGGGAGCAGAAAGACUAGGUCAACUGUGAUCUGGACUGUGUUCCAGGUCCUAAGUUAGCAUGUGGUGCUCACUGUGAGGUGAGGGGACUAGUCUUCUUCUUCUUCUUCUUUUUUUUGGCUGUACUCAGAGCAUGUGGAAGUUCCCAGGCCAGGGAUUGAAUGUGAGCCACAGCAGCGACCUGAGCUACUGCAGUGACAAUGCGGGAUGCUUAACCUGUUGCGCUGUAAGAGAACUCGGUGAGGGGCUAGUCUUAUCUCCCUGCUUCCUUUCCUGUUUCUUUUCCUCACUCACAGGUCCAGAGCUUCCAGUCUGAUUGAUCUCCUUGCUGUCCCAUUGCUCCUCCUGGGAAGCUUUUUUUGUCCUCUAGGUAUAUCUAGUCUCUAUCCAUGCUUCAAACGUUGCUUUGGCUGACUUUUUUCCAGUAACUACAGCUCGCAUUGAAUCUUCUGAUUCACAUUCCUGUAUGUAACAGCUGGCUACAUACAGUUUUUGGUGUUCCUCUGAUUGUUUCACAUGAGAAUAUGUUGUCUUUCCAAGGAUAUUAAAAUUUUCUCCAAAAAAGGGCUAUGUCCUGUAUAUAUUUUUUCGUAUAAUUGGCACCCCAUUGCCUCUUUCUUCAAUCAUUUGUCAUCUAUUUUGUUAUCAUGCUUCUAUAAUAUAGAGCUUUCUUUUGCUUAUUUCUGGUUUUUCUCACUAGACUAGGAGUUCCUUAUAGAAAGAGGCAUCAUCUUAGGUGUCUUUGGUUCUCCCAAGGCAUCUAGUAUAUAGCUUCUCUUAUUAUUUCUUUACCUUAUUGGCCAUUUUUAACAGAAAAGUUCUCUUCCUGCCCUUGUCUAGUUUACAGGCUCAGACAUCCUUACAUUUGGCCUUAAAUGGAAUAUGAAUGAUAUCUCUGAGGAAGUGAAAAAUGGUUGCAACUGUGACAGAGUCUUGUCUCUCACUAAAUAAUAUAGUUGGCACAUUUGAGUACGAGUAGGUCUGAGGAUUAGAUGCAGUGAUGCCUCUAAAGAGUCUAGCAUGGUGUGUGACACACAGUAGGCAUCAGAACAUGUUAGUUCCAUAGUAGUAAUGAUAGUUGAGAAGUUGUAACACUAGUAAUAAUGACCGAUGCCCACUGAUCUGCCUUUUUUGCUCUGUUUAUAUUUCGGUUGAGUUCCACAUAUAAUCAUGUAACGGAAAGACUGUGGAAGCUGGGGAACAGUAACAUGUGAGUCUAAAUGUGAGUCUGCCUUGGUCUAGUGGGAUCCUUCCACUCCUCCCUUGUUCUAAAGGCUGGGACCCUACCAUAGUGUCUUCCUGAGCGCUUUUGCAGUCCCAGGAUAUUACCUUCAAAUAUGUCCCUAUAAAGGCCAGCUCCUUAUGAUAUCACUUACAUCUAGAAUCUAAUAUAUAGCACAAAUGAACCUUUCCCCAGAAAAGAAAUUCAUGGACUUGGAGAACAGACUUGUGACUGCCAAGGGGGAGAGAGAGGCAGUAGGAUGGACUGGAAUCUGGGGUUAAUAGAUGCAAACUAUUGCCUUUAGAAUCGAUAAGCAGUGAGAUACCGCUGUAUAGCAAUGGGAACCAUAUCUAGUCACUAAUAAUGGAGCAUGAUUGAGGAUGAUGUGAGAAAAAGAAUUUGUGUGUGUGUGUGUGUGUGAGUGGGUCACUAUGCUGUACAGUAGAAAUUGACAGAACACUGUAAAUAAACUACAAUAGAAAAAAAAAAAAAAA